UCAGAGCUGGGCUCCACUGGGGAAGUAUGGCGCGUGCAGCUGGUGUUUUCCUCCUCACUGCUGUUUUUACUUUUGUUCAUUUAUCACCUUUAGUUUUACCUGAAGGAGAACUCACAUUCAAACAGUGGAUCUCUGAGCACACCAAGAUUUAUGAAAGCGUGGAGGAGUAUUUCCACAGGCUCCAUGUAUUCACUGAGAAUAAGAAGAUAAUCGACCUUCAUAAUGCUGGCAAUCACUCCUUCACAAUGGGCCUGAAUCAGUUCUCUGACAUGACAUUUGAGGAAUUCAGGAAAAUCUACCUUUUGACGGAGCCUCAGAACUGCUCAGCUACUAAUGGGAAUCAUGUAAGCAGUCCUGGUCCUUACCCUGAAUUUAUCGACUGGAGGAUGAAAGGAAACUUUGUGACUCCAGUAAAGAACCAAGGUCACUGUGGCAGCUGUUGGACCUUCUCCACCACUGGGUGUUUGGAGUCUGUAAACGCCAUCGCCACGGGGAAACUAACACCACUGUCGGAGCAGCAGCUGAUAGACUGUGCCAAAGACUUCAACAAUCAUGGAUGCAUGGGCGGGCUUCCCAGUCAGGCUUUUGAGUACAUUAAGUACAACAGAGGUCUUAUGACAGAGGACGACUAUCCCUACAAAGGCCAUGAUGAUACUUGUCAUUUUAAACCUGUGCUUGCAGCUGCAUUUGUCAAAGAAGUUGUCAACAUAACAAGUUAUGAUGAAAAGGCCAUGGUUGAUGCUGUAGCCCGGCUCAAUCCAGUGUCUUUCGCCUUUGAGGUCACAAAUGAUUUUAUGCACUACAAAGAAGGGGUUUACACCAGCUCCCAGUGUAAAAGCACAGCAGACAUGGUGAAUCAUGCAGUCCUGGCUGUGGGUUAUGGGGUUGAAGAGAAGAGUAGACCAUAUUGGAUUGUGAAGAACUCCUGGGGCACAACAUGGGGAAUAGAUGGGUAUUUUUUGAUUGAGCGAGGAAAAAACAUGUGCGGACUGGCUGCAUGUUCUUCAUACCCUCUACCUUUAGUCUGAAGAGCUGAAGUGAGGACUGAUCAAACUGAAAUGGGUUAAUGGUUAAUGAAAACUAGUAGUUUAUUUGCAUUGUAAUGUGAUGCGUCCAAAGACUUGAUGUAAAGUUAUGACUCAAAGGGCCUUUUCUGAGUCUGAUUUCUACUGUUUAUCAUUGCAGAAGUGAUUGAUUAUUGUGACUAAACUGUAAAAAACAAUGAAACAUGUGGUACACAUGGGGUACAUAUGGAAUUUUUCAGUCACAUGAGCAUAAAUACGUGUUCAUCUGUGCUAUAACCACAUAUGCUACUUCAUGCUUUUUAUCCCUGGUCCAUCUGUGCUGGUUAAUACACAAGUACAUCUUAAAAGGUUUUAUUAUAGUACAUGUUUUACAUGUUUAAGUUGAACUAUCUGAUGGGAAAUAAAUUAAUUAGCAAUUUCA